UUAAUUGAAGAGUUUGAUCAUGGCUCAGAUUGAACGCUGGCGGCAGGCUUAACACAUGCAAGUCGAGCGGUAGCACAGGGGAGCUUGCUCCCUGGGUGACGAGCGGCGGACGGGUGAGUAAUGUCUGGGAAACUGCCUGAUGGAGGGGGAUAACUACUGGAAACGGUAGCUAAUACCGCAUAACGUCGCAAGACCAAAGAGGGGGACCUUCGGGCCUCUUGCCAUCAGAUGUGCCCAGAUGGGAUUAGCUAGUAGGUGGGGUAAUGGCUCACCUAGGCGACGAUCCCUAGCUGGUCUGAGAGGAUGACCAGCCACACUGGAACUGAGACACGGUCCAGACUCCUACGGGAGGCAGCAGUGGGGAAUAUUGCACAAUGGGCGCAAGCCUGAUGCAGCCAUGCCGCGUGUGUGAAGAAGGCCUUCGGGUUGUAAAGCACUUUCAGCGAGGAGGAAGGUGGUGA
rnacentral:rRNA from 4 species